rnacentral:lncRNA from 1 species
GUAUUCGAUUGAACUCAAUGUAUCCUAUAGUUGUAUUGCGAUUGGAUCAAAACGUAACGUAAAUCGAAUUUAUAUCGUACAAUCAUAACGUAUUAUACGCGACCAACUAACUCGAAUUUAUAUCGUCAAGCAAAAAACUCUCGAGGGGGGCAAAGUGGCAUUUACAAAGUUCAUAAAAAGUUAAGUGGUUAAAAAUUGCAUUCCUAAACUUAAGGGCUAAGAAAGGGUAAAGAUAAAAAUUGAAAAAGGUUUGGGGUAAGAAGGAAACUAUAACAAAGUUGGGGCUGAAAAGGAAACUACCAUAAAGUUGGGUGUCAAAAGCAAACUAUUUGUAAAAUGGAGGUGUCAAAAGCAAGUUAUUUGUAAAAUGGAGUAGUAGUUUAGGGACUAAAUUUGCCAUUUUAUGAAACUUUGAAGAUAUCAAAGUCAAGGGGCUAAAGUUGUAACAUCGUGAAAGUAUGGGAAAGGGGGAGGUAAAGCCGGUGGGGUUUCCACCGAAUUUGUGAGUCAUAGGAAUGUUUCUGAUUUACUGUAUAUCCAAACUCGAGUUUCGCUAAUAACGCCAUUUGGUAAGAAUUUUCACUGCCGUCUGUGAUCAUCCUUUAUGGAUAUCCGAAAUAAUCAAACAGAGAUGAAAGAAAAGUUAUUUGAUUACUUAAGUAUCCCUGAUUAAUCAAAAUCAGAAA